rnacentral:rRNA from 1 species
AACGACUCUCGGCAACGGAUAUCUCGGCUCUCGCAUCGAUGAAGAACGUAGCGAAAUGCGAUACUUGGUGUGAAUUGCAGAAUCCCGUGAACCAUCGAGUCUUUGAACGCAAGUUGCGCCCGAAGCCAUUAGGUUGAGGGCACGUCUGCCUGGGCGUCACGUA